AUGCUGUGAUGAUACCUGGAAAUGUGGUUUCAACUAUCUGACGGUUGAGUGAGGACAUAAAAUUCCUUGGCUGUGUCUGAGCAC
rnacentral:snoRNA from 11 species